rnacentral:rRNA from 1 species
GACGAACGCUGGCGGCGUGCUUAACACAUGCAAGUCGAACGCUGAAGCUCAGCUUGCUGGGUGGAUGAGUGGCGAACGGGUGAGUAACACGUGAGUAACCUGCCCUCUUCUUUGGGAUAACGCCCGGAAACGGGUGCUAAUACUGGAUAUUCACUGAUUCUCGCAUGGGGGUUGGUGGAAAGGUUUUUUCUGGUGGGGGAUGGGCUCGCGGCCUAUCAGCUUGUUGGUGGGGUGAUGGCCUACCAAGGCUUUGACGGGUAGCCGGCCUGAGAGGGUGACCGGUCACAUUGGGACUGAGAUACGGCCCAGACUCCUACGGGAGGCAGCAGUGGGGAAUAUUGCACAAUGGGCGAAAGCCUGAUGCAGCGACGCCGCGUGAGGGAUGGAGGCCUUCGGGUUGUAAACCUCUUUCGCUCAUGGUCAAGCCGCAGCUUUGGGUUGUGGUGAGGGUAGUGUGUAAAGAAGCGCCGGCUAACUACGUG